rnacentral:lncRNA from 1 species
UUCCGCUAUAACCAUCUUGUGUUGAGAAUCGAAUGUUUGUAUUUUGAUGACUAUAGAAGCAUGUUACACUGUUAAACACUUGUAUGCUAGAACACGUAAGUUUUAUAACAUAUAUUUUUAAAUAAAUAAAAGUCUGUCAGCAUCUGUAGGUAAAAAUAUUUUGUUGUUGCUCGUCAGACAAUAAUAUAUUCUCAAAGUCGCUGUACGAAAUAAGUCAAACAGAUUUAACCAACAAGAUAUGGAGUCGUUUUGUAGUCGCUGCCCCUCAUCACAUUUCCAUUCGGUGUUAUUUUUUCAUUAACUCUAUUGACAAUGUAGACUGGAGUAUAAAUAUUGCUGUAUGUAAAUUACAAGUAUUACCCCGCCUUUCAAAAUUAAAUUAAAUUUCAUUUCAUUUUGAAUAUGUGAAAACAAAUAUAUCCUUGUGGGUGUGUAAAAGGAAGAAAAACAGUUUGAUAUUUUCUCUCUUAAGUAUUUUAUGUAUAGCGAUAUUCCGAAUUCAUUACGUUCUCAGUUCACAUUCUGUUGCUGUCAACCUUUCCAUUCUUCCCUCCAGGGUCGAUAAAAUAAAAUAUCUGUCGAUUAUUGGGAUCGAUAGCUUCGAUUAAGCUUCACUCAAAAUUGCUAUACUUAUGCUAAAAUUUGAAAUCAUUUUAUGACGCAGCAUGGCCGAAUGAUUAAGCAAAUUCUUUUCACACUUGACUGCGGAUUGGAUCUCACUGCAUAUGAUCUUCCUUACUUCAAUGUUUUAACGUCUACUUUUCUGUGUUCAUAUUUGCCGGACGGCAUUCAUUGAAGAAUAGCUGGAUGUCCCUCCUGUUGCAGCAUUACUUGUAUAAUGAAGUCGUUUGUUAACAACUAUCAUGCGAUGUUAAGACAAAGAGACAUAUGUGUAUGUAUAUGACGGGCUUCCUUCAGUUUCCAUUUACGAAAACCAUUCACAAGGCUUUUGACAGUCUCAGGCUAUAAUAGAAAAUGCCCACGGUGCAGUGUAAUAGGAUCGAACCAGAAACCAAGUGGUUGAAAAGCAAACUUCUUGAUCACACACCCUCCUCUGUACAGGGUGUCUUUUACCUUUGUGAGCGAACUUUGUUAGACAGAAACUGUGCGGAAGCCUGUUGGAUGGACCAGUACAGCCUUGUCAUAUGCUGUCAUGUUGACGGUACUCUUUACUCUUUUACUUGUUUCAGUCAUUUGGCUGUGGCCAUGCUGGAGCACCGCCUUUAGUUGAGCAAAUCGACCCCAGGACUUAUUCUUUGUAAGCCUAGUACUUAUUCUAUCGGUCUCUUUUGCCGAACCGCUAAGUUACGGCGACGUAAACACACCAGCAUCGGUUGUCAAGCGAUGUUGGGGGGACUAACACAGACACACAAACAUAAACACAUACAUAUAUAUAUACAUAUAUACGACGGGCUUUUUGCAGUUUCCAUCUACUAAAUCCACUCAAGGCUUUGGUCGACCCAAGGCCAUAGUAGAAGACACUUGCCCAAGGUGCCCUGCAGUGGGACUGAACUCGGAACCAUGUGGUUGGUAGAGAAUCAAGUUUAAGCUUUUGGAAUACUCAACCACAUCUAUGCUAAUUCAAUGAGCAGGUAGUCCACUUGAGUGAACAACUGAAUCCUCAUUAUCAAAACUAAUUUGAACUGGCCUUAUCCAGUGCAAAUGUUCUACCUGUUUUACGUUCAAACUGGUUAGAACUGGCCCCUUACACCUACCCUUCAAUGUCAUUCCUCUCUAAAGAAAAUCAUAGCAGUUUACAGUGACACUGCUAUGCUUGUCACUGGGUGUGACUAUCAGCUAAUUAUACCUAUUUCUUUACUACCCACAAGGAGCUAAACACAGAGAGGACAAACAAGGACAGACAAAGGAAUUAAGUCGAUUACAUCGACUCCAGUGUGUAACUGGUACUUAUUUAAUCGACCCCGAAAGGAUGAAAGGCAAAGUCGACCUCAGCGGAAUUUGAACUCAGAACAUAACGGCAGACGAAAUACAGCUACGCAUUUCGCCCGGUGUGCUAACGUUUCUGCCAGCUCGCUGCCUUAUAUAUCAGCUAAUUAUACCUGAUAUUUAGUUUCCCUUCUAACGACUUCAUAAUACUCUCUCUUACUACCUUUUUUCCAAACUUUCUAAGUAUGUCUUUUACCUGUUACAGCAGCUCUGUCUAUCUAUCUGUGUGUGUAUACACUUACAUAUACACAUUUGGAUACAUAUUGCAGUAAUUUUUUGCUAUUACAGAACAUAUUUUAUUGGCUCCUCCACUUUCAUAUGUUGUUGUAUGUCUAAUCACUUAAUCAAAGUUGAUUAAUUAUACAGCUGCUGUAUAUUCAUAAAAUACACCUACAAUAAAAUUAUUGUAAAGGAGCUAUGACAAUUCUGAGGUAAUGAAGGAUAGAAAUCAAGUCACUUUUUAAGAAUUCAGUUGUCAUUCACUGAAGGAGAUUUAUAUAAUGUACCUCUGUGUGAAAAGUCUGGCUGCAUCCGAAAAAAUAUAUAUUAUGAAACAAAAAUAAACACAAAAUUUAUUACACGAAUCUGUUACCACCAUGACAGUCAACUAUUUGACGCUGAACACGAGUUUGAUGUUGAAUACAUCCACGAAUUUUCCGCUCAGAUAGCUCUUCCCAAGACUGCAAGACGGCUUCGUGCGAUUCAUGCCUCGUUGUAGGGUUUUUCAGUUCAACUUUAUCGGCCAAAACUUUGAAAAUGCCAUCUAAAGUUAAUAAUGAUUCUGCUAAUUCCACGUGUAAACAUGUGUUGAAUAGAACUCACUGAAUAAAUCUUAAUUAACUGUGUUGUCAAUUGUAUGCACCUGACAUAUGCUACUUUACAUAUGCUGACAGAGGAUACUUUUUUUAACGUUUUACUUCAUUCAUUCAAUCAUUUUUUCUUCAUUCGUCAAUAUAAUGUUCUUUUAGAUUAAUCUCUUAGAAAUUUGUAGCAUCCUUGAAAACAACCGACAUUUGGUCAUAAGUUUAUUCAGCCAAGACUAGCCUAGGUCUAAACAAGCAUGAGCCAAUGAUGGAGUUUCUACAUGGUCACUGGAAUUGUAAGGUAUAGCAACUAAAUCUACUUUAGAUUACAUCCUAACAUCUAGAUAUUCCAUAUUCUGUCAGAGCUGACGUGGAGUUAAACAACAGAAAAGAAUGUUAUUAUCCAAUAUUUUAGAGUUUAACAUUUAAUGAUAUUAACAUGAUCUGAAAGUAUAUCUUGUAUUCAACAAAUAUGCUGACAUUACACAAAAUUGGUUGGUCAAUGCCAGUCCCCCCCCCAUUCCCCACUCUGACUGGCGGUCGAUUCCAGCCCCCCACCCCCACCCCGAUGGGCUCCUGUGCCGGCAGCAUGUAAAAAGCACCAUCUAAACAUGGCCGAUGCUAGUGCCAUCUGACUGGCUCCAUGUCAGUGGCACGUAAGAAGCACCCACUACACUCUUGGAGUGGUUGGCAUUAGGAAGGGCAUCCAGUUGUAGAAACAUUGCCAGAUCAGAUUGGGGCCUGGUGUGGCCUCCUGGCUUGCCAGUCCCCAGUCAAACCGUCCGACCCAUGCCAGCAUAGAAAAUGGAACUAAAAAAAAGUAUGAUGUAAUUUUUGUAGUAAGUUAUAAAUCAGUUGUUUGGUAAAGGUAUCUUAUCAGUUUAGAAAUGUAAAAUUUCCACUUUUCUAAGUAUUUUCUGUAUUUUAUAAUGUUUCUCUAUUUCAGAUUGUCGAAUGACAUUUGGAUGAAAGAAUUUUUUGCUUCAACUGCAUCCUCAAUUCUCAUUUGCUAAAGACCAAAUGAAAAUGUUAUACAAAACAAAUAUAAACAUAUUUAUAUAAAUC